rnacentral:rRNA from 1 species
UCGAGUUAUGGUUCGUAGGUGACCUGCGGAAGGAUCAUUAAUGAAAUUGUAAAGGUCAAAGUUGAUGCUGGCGGGGUAACUCGCAUGUGCUCGCUUUUUCCGACAACUUUCUUAUCCAUACACCUGUGCACAUCUUGAAAGGAGGGAAAACGGCGUUUGUUCGUCGUUGGCUCUUCUUUCAUGCUUUUAUCACAAACUCUUUACUAUAACAUUGAACAAUAAAUGUGCCGCAAGGCCUUUUAAACAAAUACAACUUUUAACAACGGAUCUCUUGGCUCUCGCAUCGAUGAAGAACGCAGCGAAUUGCGAUAAGUAAUGUGAAUUGCAGAAUUCAGUGAAUCAUCGAAUCUUUGAACGCACCUUGCGCUCCCUGGCAUUCCGGGGAGCACGCCUGUUCGAGUAUCGUGAAAUCCUCAAGCCAGACAGGCUUUGUUGACUGUCUUGGUUUGGAUGUGGACUCUGCCGUUGGUGCAAACCGACGGCUGGUCUUAAACGUGUUAGCUGAAUCUUGGUUCAAAAGGGUUCUACUCGGCGUGAUAAUUAUCUUAUCGCUGAGGACAUUUCUCUCGGGAAAUGGCCCGUUCUUGACCUCGAGUCGCUUCUAAUCUGCUGGUGAAAAACCCUCGUGGUUUUUUUCCGCAACCUUUUCAAACUUUGAUCUCGAAUCAGGUGGGACUACCCGCUGAACUUAAGCAUAUCAAUAGGCGGGAGGAA